rnacentral:rRNA from 1 species
GAUGAACGCUGGCGGCGUGCCUAAUACAUGCAAGUCGAGCGAACAGAUAAGGAGCUUGCUCCUUUGACGUUAGCGGCGGACGGGUGAGUAACACGUGGGUAACCUACCUAUAAGACUGGAAUAACUCCGGGAAACCGGGGCUAAUGCCGGAUAACAUUUAGAACCGCAUGGUUCUAAAGUGAAAGAUGGUUUUGCUAUCACUUAUAGAUGGACCCGCGCCGUAUUAGCUAGUUGGUAAGGUAACGGCUUACCAAGGCAACGAUCCGUAGCCGACCUGAGAGGGUGAUCGGCCACACUGGAACUGAGACACGGUCCAGACUCCUACGGGAGGCAGCAGUAGGGAAUCCUCCGCAAUGGGCGAAAGCCUGACGGAGCAACGCCGCGUGAGUGAUGAAGGUCUUCGGAUCGUAAAACUCUGUUAUUAGGGAAGAACAAAUGUGUAAGUAACUGUGCACGUCUUGACGGUACCUAAUCAGAAAGCCACGGCUAACUACGUG